GAUCCUGGCUCAGAGUGAACGCUGGCGGCAGGCCUAAUACAUGCAAGUCGAACGGCAGCACAGCAGAGCUUGCUCUGUGGGUGGCGAGUGGCGGACGGGUGAGGAAUACAUGGGAAUCUGCCCAGUCGUGGGGGAUAACGUAGGGAAACUUACGCUAAUACCGCAUGCGCCCUUCGGGGGAAAGCCGGGGACCUUCGGGCCUGGCGCGAUUGGAUGAGCCCAUGUCGGAUUAGCUAGUUGGCGGGGUAAUGGCCCACCAAGGCGACGAUCCGUAGCUGGUCUGAGAGGAUGAUCAGCCACACUGGAACUGAGACACGGUCCAGACUCCUACGGGAGGCAGCAGUAGGGAAUAUUGGACAAUGGGCGCAAGCCUGAUCCAGCCAUGCCGCGUGAGUGAAGAAGGCCCUCGGGUUGUAAAGCUCUUUUGUCCGGAAAGAAAAGCGCCGGGUUAAUACCCUAGUGUCCUGACGGUACCGGAAGAAUAAGCACCGGCUAACUUCGUG
rnacentral:rRNA from 1 species